CCAAUGUGGGCAUCCAGCGAGGUUACUCUUGCCUGGCUCUGUCCGUAUGGCGUGUAGGAGCAUAGACUUGUAGUCUAUGAUGUAAAGUCCUGUUCCAUGACAUUGGAGAGAAAGCAUGUCCCCAGUCACUGGGCUGGUGAGGGCAGCACCCUGUAUAUUCCUAGACCUUCUCAGUCUUUGCCGUGUCUGAGGAGAUAAACCAUGCAGGAUACAAUU